rnacentral:rRNA from 1 species
AUGCCUUACACAUGCAAGUCGGACGGCAGCGCGGGGGCAACCCUGGCGGCGAGUGGCGAACGGGUGAGUAAUACAUCGGAACGUGUCCUGGAGUGGGGGAUAGCCCGGCGAAAGCCGGAUUAAUACCGCAUACGCUCUAUGGAGGAAAGCGGGGGAUCUUCGGACCUCGCGCUCAAGGGGCGGCCGAUGGCAGAUUAGCUAGUUGGUGGGGUAAAGGCCUACCAAGGCGACGAUCUGUAGCUGGUCUGAGAGGACGACCAGCCACACUGGGACUGAGACACGGCCCAG